GUAAAAUAAAAAUAUAAAAUUGACCGUCUGCUUUUGCUGUUUGUUAUUUCCCCUUUUCCGUUUUGUUAGUAAUUUUUCUUUUUGUUUG
rnacentral:ribozyme from 1 species